rnacentral:rRNA from 1 species
UCUUGCGAUGCUACCUGCAAGUCGAACGAUGAACCCUUCAGGGUGGAUUAGUGGCGAACGGGUGAGUAACACGUGGGCAAUCUGCCCUUCACUCUGGGACAAGCCCUGGAAACGGGGUAUAAUACCGGAUAACACUCUGUCCCGCAUGGGACGGGGUUGAAAGCUCCGGCGGUGAAGGAUGAGCCCGCGGGCUAUCAGCUUGUUGGUGGGGUAAUGGGGUACCGAGGCGACGACGGGUAGCCGGCCUGAGAGGGCGACCGGCCACACUGGGACUGAGACACGGACCAAACUCCUACAGGAGGCAGCAAUGGGGAAUAUUGCACAAUGGGCGAAAGCCUGAUGCCCCGACGCCGCGUGAGGGAUGACGGCCUUCGGGUUGUAAACCUCUUUCAGCAGGGAAGAAGCGAUAGUGACGGUACCUGCAGAAGAAGCGCCGGCUAACUACUUGCCAGCAGCCGCGGUAAUACGUAGGGCGCAAGCGUUGUCCGGAAUUAUUGGGCGUAAAGAGCUCGUAGGCGGCUUGUCACGUCCGAUGUGAGAGCCCGGGGCUUAACCCCGGGGCUGCAUUCGAUACGGGCUAGCUAGAGUGUGGUAGGGGAGAUCGGAAUUCCUGGAGUAGCGGUGAAAUGCGGCAGAUAUCAGGAGAAACACCGGAUGGCAGAAGGCGGGAUCUAUGGGCCCAUUACUGACGCUGAGGAGCCAAAGCGUGCAGAGCCGAACAGGAUUACAUACCCUGAUAGUCCACGACGAAAACAUUGGGAAACUAGGUGUCGGCGACAUUACACGUCGUCGGUGACCGCAGCUAACGCAUUAAGAUCCCCGCCUGGGGAGUGCGGCCGCAAGGCUAAAACUCAAAGGAAUUAACGAGGGCCCGCGCAAGCAGCGGAGCAUGUGGCUUAAUUUGACGCAACGCGAAGAACCUUACCAAGGCUCGACAUAUACCGGAAAGCAUCAGAGAUGGUGCCCCCCUUGUGGUCGGUAUACAGGUGGUGCAUGGCUGUCGUCAGCUCGUGUCGUGAGAUGUUGGGUUAAGUCCCGCAACGAGCGCAACCCUUGUUCUGUGUUCCCAGCAUGCCCUUCGGGGUGAUGGGGACUCACAGGAAGCUGCCGGGGUCAACUCGGAGGAAGGUGGGGAGGACGUCAAGUCAUCAUCCCCCUUAUGUCUUGGGCUGCACACCUGCUACAAUGACCGGUACAAUGAACUGCGAUGCCGCGAGGCGGAGCGAAUCUCAAAAAACCGGUCUCACUUAGGAUUGGGGUCUGCAACUAGCCCCCAUGCAGUAGGAGUUAAUAGUAAUUACAGAUCAACAUUCAUGCGGCGAAUAAGUUCCCGGCCCUCGUACUCCCCGCCCCUCGUCUCACCAAAGUAGGUAACACCCGAAGAACGGUGGCCCAUCCCCUUGAGGGAGGGAGCUUCCAAGGAGACUCAUG